rnacentral:rRNA from 1 species
UACAGAGGGGGCAAGCGUUGUUCGGAAUUACUGGGCGUAAAGGGCGCGUAGGCGGCCUGCUAAGUCGAACGUGAAAUCCCCGGGCUCAACCCGGGAACUGCGUCCGAUACUGGCAGGCUUGAAUCCGGGAGAGGGAUGCGGAAUUCCAAGGUGUAGCGGUGAAAUGCGUAGAUAUCUGGAGGAACACCGGUGGCGAAGGCGGCAUCCUGGACCGGCAUUGACGCUGAGGCGCGAAAGCCAGGGGAGCAAACGGGG